rnacentral:rRNA from 1 species
GAUGAACGCUGGCGGCGUGCCUAAUACAUGCAAGUCGAGCGAACAGACGAGGAGCUUGCUCCUCUGACGUUAGCGGCGGACGGGUGAGUAACACGUGGAUAACCUACCUAUAAGACUGGGAUAACUUCGGGAAACCGGAGCUAAUACCGGAUAAUAUAUUGAACCGCAUGGUUCAAUAGUGAAAGACGGUUUUGCUGUCACUUAUAGAUGGAUCCGCGCCGCAUUAGCUAGUUGGUAAGGUAACGGCUUACCAAGGGGACGAUGCGUAGACGACCUGGGAGGGUGGUCGGCCACACUGGAACUGAGACACGGUCCAGACUCCUACGGGAGGCAGCAGUAGGGAAUCUUCCGCAAUGGGCGAAAGCUUGACGGAGCAACGCCGCGUGAGUGAUGAAGGUCUUCGGAUCGUAAAACUCUGUUAUUAGGGAAGAACAAAUGUGUAAGUAACUAUACACGUCUUGACGGUACCUAAUCAGAAAGCCACGGCUAACUACGUG